ensembl:lincRNA 2610037D02Rik RIKEN cDNA 2610037D02 gene
GGAGGGAAUAGGAGACCAAAAGCAGCCAUCUGGUUAUUUGCUUGGAAAGGAAAACUUAAGGGCAGAGGGGAGUUUAUCUGGGUUUCUGUGUCAUCUUCCAGUUGCAUUAGCCAUUGUGCUUGUGUGGUUCUGUGGUGACUCGUUGAGAUACUAUGAUGGCACCUGCAUAUUUCCGUCUGAGCACUGAACAGUCGCCUUCUGCACAUUCCACAGCCCAUCUUCUGCCCCGCCCUGUGAGUGCUGCUGGCCCAUGGAACACAACAUAGUUCCUGGUCCGGUGUGUUCCUACUGAUGGCUACCAUAUUUGAUAAGUUUAGCUACGACUGCUCAGUCUUUAUCCCUCGCAAGGAUGCCGUCUGUGUCUUAGCACUCACCCAAGCCGCAGGAGAAUAUUUUUAUGCUUUUGUACUGAAGUAACCCCGGUGGGUAGUAUCACAUUUCUUAUUACCAUAAUACAUUCCCAAUAGUGGGCAGCAUAGAGCAGGUGGAGCCUACACAAGGCGUGUUAGAGAUGUGCUGACAGUUUUACAAUAGGUAUUCUCUAACUAAUUUGAUGUAAAGUACAAUAUAGCUCAGAGCUUUCAAGCAUUAAUGAAAAGCAUUCCCUUAAACAUUAAAGCGAGAGUGAACAUUGUCCAAACCUCAGUACAGCUUACUGUUCUGAUGAGAAAUGCGACAAAGACUUUAUGCUAGGAGAAAUGUCUAUCUUUUUUUAGUAGUGACUGCAAGUCCAAGUCAGAGAUUCCUGCUGUGUAGAUCUUUGUCCCAUACCAUCUGUCUGCUUCAUCACGAAUUAUAAAAGUUCCUUUUCAAAAAAGCAUGUCAAAAAAAAUUAAAAAAAAAAAACCCACCCAAUUUCAAAUUAUUCAUGUCAGGCAUGGGAUUUCAAGGAGCAAAUUAACUUAGGUGAAGACUGGGCACGUCAGCUCAAUUUGAGAUUUUGGGUUACUGUAAGGUCUACAGAAAUGAUUUGGUUGGUUGAAGACUUUUGUAGUUAAAUUGGCAUUUCUUUGAAGAUGACGUUAAGAACUCUUAGUGAGCUGAGAGAAUGCUUUUGUGGCUUGCUGCUUUUGUUGGGAUCUGCUGCGGUUGUACCUGUGUGCCAACUUGUCUCUCUGAAAAUUUGAUCACAACUUCGAAUAACAGAGGUGUCCUUUCCCUUCUGGUGGUGAGUCUUGGCAGAAUGAAUAACGUUUUUUUUAAAGGAAAGGAGGAAAAGAGCUAUUCUGCAGAGUAGGACAGCGCUAAUGUAGACAGGCGCUCUCGGCUCUUCAGUUGCCAGCUUUCCAGGUGAUUUGACACAAAAGGAUCUGGUAAGCUGCGGGACAUUUUUCUCAUUUUCACUAAAUAUUAGAAGUUAGUCUGUAGAUGAGAACAGUGCAAUUUUAUUUAAAAAUAAAUGAUCGCUUUCAAUUUGAAAAAAAAAUGAUUUAACCAGAAUAUUAAAUCGUAUGCAUUUAUAAUAAUACACCCUGGAGGUAGCAUCCCCAUGGGUUUUGGCAGAGGGCAUUGGCCUUAGAUGUUUAAGUCACUUUUCUAGUCCUGAGAUUUUUCAGAUAGUUUAAUGGAAUACAUUUAUGCAUUCUUAAUUAUUUCUUUUUUGGUCACUGAAACUACUUAUUAUACAUUUAGCAUUUUAAUACUUUGUUUAUUCUGUUUAAUAACAUCUACAUUUGGGAGGGCAUAUAUACUAAGCCAAGCAGCUAUUUAUUGUCAGUGUUGAUUACAAACCCACUAAGUAAAUAGCGGUCGAAUGCCUGCCUUGGUCAAGAGGUGGAGAAGGAAGAAGAGUCUGACCGGCCAGAAAUCAGUGUUGCAGCCGUGGAGGCUAUCAUGAAAUAGUUACACAAUAGGAUUCUUAGUUUUCAGUACUUAACCAGAAUCUUUUAACAUAGAGUUACAUUUGAAAUUCAAUUUCAGGCAGGGUUGUAGCUCUCGGCUGAAAUCUCAGCCUUGGUUACUGUGACAGGAUUGUGAGUUCCGUGAUAGCCAGAGCUACAAUUGUGAGACCCUGUCACAGACAAGGUAAAUCAGUUAUUUUGGGGGACAAUUAGAUAUAAUUCUGUAUAAAAUAGCAUCGUGGCAUCAUAUCAACAGAGGGAUCACAGGGUUAGUGAUUACUCAAAGUGUAAUGUUCAUAAUAAGCACUUAAAUCAUAGUCUCUGAAAACGCAGAUCCAUGGGUCUAAUAAUUAACUUUAUUUAAGGGAGCGGCAAGCAGGGGAAUGUUCAGUGACUGUUGUACACACACACACACACACACACACACACACUGAGCAUUGUUUUGAUGGAGUUUUAUCUUCUGUUUCAAUUUUUUGGUACAUUGACUCCCUUCUACAUUGCACUUUGCUAUUAAUUUAAAAAAUUAAAUCCAAAGACAUAUUAAUUUUGUGUUUAAUGCAGACUUAAUUUUUGACUAGCUGUAAAGCUUAAGGAAUUGGCAAUCAUGUUGGCAAGACAAUAAAACAGGAAUUAAGCUGAAGUGCAGAGCUGUGUAAUAGGAUUCAUGGAGCGCUGUAGUUUUUCUUUGACUACAUGAGUUAGAGUGAUAGUGACUUAUAAUUGAAUCUUUUUAACUCUUCUGUUUCUCAAAGACCUUGAUUAUCUGUUUUUCUCUAGCAUCAGAAUGGAAGCUUAGUGGCGUAUACUGUAAACAGAAAUUCAGAUUUCAUAGUAUUGUAAGAUAGUUUUAAAGCAAACUCCCUUUUAUUAUCAAUAUUGAUCACGAUAGCAGGUAGUGUUGUGUUUUAUAAAAAGAAGGAGAAGCCAGGGAUGUGUUUGGUGGAGGCGUUGUAAGAUGUGGAGGAAGGCCAUGCCUCUGCGGGCCUUUGCUGAGGCAUUCCUUUCCCUCUGAGGUACCAGUCACAGGACGGGAUAAUAUAGAAUAGAGUUUAUUUAGGGCAUGGAAAGUUGAGAGGAAGGGAGAAGAGGUGUAGAAGCCAACCUUGAGCACGUGGAGGGGGAAGUGAAUGGGGAGAGGGGAAGAGGAUAAGAGAGC